GCAGACUUGCGUCUUAAGAGCCGAGCUCCCGGAAAAAGAAAUUCUUGGCCCUUUUAAGGGCUUACACCUCUAAGGGGCCCACGUGAAAGGGUCAUGAUAAAUCGAACAAGCAUGGGGAACGUGACUGGGGGCUACAUGAAUCAGCUAACAGAACAGAAAAUUUUGCAAUGCUUUUUCCUACAAUGUCUGGAAUUUACAGAUAAUACAAGUAGUUUAAGUCAGGGGUCGAUAUUAUUAUUAUUACUUUUUUUAACUACCAGGGCCAGGUGGUGGUGCCAAGGUCUUCUGGCUAUUUAUCUUACUUCUGUUUUUUUUUUUUUUUUUUCUAACUUUUUGCUUUCUCUCUUUCCUCCUGUCUUGUAAACUAGGCAAGGUCGGGGGAGGAGGGCAGCAAGAGUAGUAGUGGUCUCCUUCCUUACUGGGACCACGCUCUGAAGACCAUUCAUCCAAGCAAGCCCCUUUGUCUAGCAAACACCUUCUGCUCCUUCAAGUCUCAUCUGAAGCACCACCUCCUCCAGGAAGCCUCCCUGACGUUCCUGCCUGGGUAGCCGCUCCAUGGGGCUCCCACAGCACACCACUGUCACACUGCACUGUCACCAUCCGCUGCUUCUCAAUGUCCUUGACUGAACUGGUAGCUCCUCGAGGGACAGGAUGAACCAGUCACACAGCUCCUCUCCAAAGAGCUCCCAGCAGAGAAGGCAGCUGGGAGCGAGGAAGGAGGGAGCAGCAGGUGCUUCGAGCGCCACUGGGUGGCCGACACCUGCCAGGCACCUCACACGCUCCGCUGCAGUUCAUCCUGCACUUUACUUACCCUUGAGUCCCCCUAUCUCUGAUCAUUGUCACUGGUUCCUAGGAAACUGACACUCGGGUCACAAAACUUGUCCAAGGUGUCACAGAACAAAUAAAGGACAAAGCCAGGGACCAAACUAAAGUCAACCUCUGCCUUUCUACAAUGCCAGGCUGCUCACCGUCAAGCAACUUGGCGGUGUCACCGAACUCUGCACCGGUGUACUGAGGUGAACAGCAUCCCCCAAAAUUCAUGUCCUUCCCAGGACCUCAGAAUCCAGCCUUCUUUGCAAAUCAGAUCAUUGUGAAAGUUCUAAGUUAAAACGGGGUCAUGCUGGGGUAGGGAGGGUCCUUAAUUCAAUAUGACUUGUGUCCUUCUGAGACACAGAGGCACAUGGGGGGCCAAGUGACAACAGAGGCAGCGAUUGGAGUGCAGGGCCACAGGCGGAGGAAGGCCGCCAACCACCGGAGCUGGGGACGGGCAGGGAACAGAGUCCUGCUCUGAGGCCCCAGAAGGAGCAACCCUGAUGACGCCUUCAUUUCUGCCUUCUCGGCUCCAGAACCAAGAGGGAGCCCAUUGCUGGUGUUUUCGGCCCUCCAGUUUGUGGUGAUUUGUUCCACAGCCCCUAAAAAACAAAUACUACCGGUUGGGAAUACUCAGUCACCAGCAACAAGAAUCCCCACAGCGUCUCCACGUGGCUGCACGUAGCCGAGGGAGAUCACGCCCAGGAUUCCUGCAGGAAGAAAGCAGACGGCUGAGAGCCUCCUCUUUGUAUUCGGCAAGACCAGGCUCCGUAGCCCUCAGGGAAACAUUCGACCACAACUGUGGUGUGUGGGCCCCGCUGUUUGCUAGAGAGCCUGAGAGAUGAGUCAUUGGUUUCUAGCCUGGAGAAAGACGCCUGCGAGGCGAGACUGUCAGGGUCUCUGCCGCCCUCCCCAGGAGCUGUGUCCCUGAGGUGAGACGCCACCCCUGCCCUCACAGCUACCCGGUGCAUGACCCCUGUGUCCAGCCUGUCCCUGAGAAACUGAUUUCCUCACCUCUCUCAGCCUCCUCCCUCAUCAAAUAUUUGUCGGAGGCAUUAUCAAGGAUCAAACCGGUUUGAUCCAGUGCAGUGCAGGAAACGCGGGCAGGGUGGAGGGGCCUGGGCUUGUUGACCAAGUUCCUCGCUGUGAGCCUCGGUUUCCCCUUCUGCAAAGUGUGGAGAUCUCAUCAGGUGAUGAGUGAGGCCCCUCCUCCUCCUUCAGUUUCCUGCUCCUGCCCAGGCCUCCGCCAGCUCCCAGUGUCCUUGGGCGAGUGCUGCGGGGACCCUGAACCGCACAUGGCUGGGGGCUCCUCACCCUGCAGCCCCUCACUGCCUCACCGUGCACAUCCGCGUCUCACACCAGCGGCCAUGUGGGCCUCAAAAGGGCAAACCUGACGGUGCCUCUUGUGGCUGAUAACUCUCCAGACCAUUGACCUGGCACAACAGGAUCACCUGGGAGGUGCUGGGCCAGCCCAGCCACUGAACGGGCAGCUCUGCCUGGGUGCGGCCCAGCAAGAGCUAGUUCUUAAAAUCACCUAGGAGCUCGGACGUGUGGCUGGCUCUGCGAGGCCCAGAACUACAGGAUCAAGCCCCUGAGGGGCCUUCCCUGCCCAGCACAGGGACUGGAGAGCUUGGAUCAACUUACAGCUCCCACCUGCUUGGGCCGGUGCUGGAUCCUGGGCUACACUCGAGGGGCCGUCUGUCGCAUCUGCUGAGCACAGAUGUCUGGAGAAGGCCCCAUCUGAUCCAGAUUCCAGAGGACAGAGGAGUCACUUCCAGAGCUGUUCCCAUGACACUCAGGACAGGCUGGGCAGGCCAAGCCUCACCUGCCCCACUGCAUAGCUUGUGUUUUCCUGAAACCUCCUGAUCCCCACCUGGGCCCGACUGACUGGGGAUGUCUCCUGCCUGCCCAUCUCCGUGGUGAUAGGGCGGCCUUGCCGAAACAAGGCCACAUCCUGGCCUUCCCGGGGGUUGACUGCUGGGCCCCUUCCUGUCAGCGGUUGCUCUUUACCCUGGUUAACAUGUAGAAGCUCGUGGUUCGAGCUCUUCAUCUGGCCUCUUUUUUUUUUUUUUUUUUUGAGACAGAGUCUGGCUGUCGCCCAGGAUGGAGUGCAGUGGUGCGAUCUCAGCUCACUGCAACCUCCACCUCCCAGGCUUAAACGAUUCUCCUGCCUCAGCCUCCCGAGUAGCUGGGAUUACAGGCACGCGCCACCAUGCCUGGCUAAUUUUUGUACUUUUAGUAGAGACAGGGUUUUGCAUGUUGGCCAGGCUGGUCUCGAACUCCUGAUCUGAAGUGAUCCACCUGCCUUGGCCUCCCAAAGUGCUGGGAUUACAGGCGUGAGCCACUCCCAGCUGCCUCAAGGGCAA
rnacentral:lncRNA from 1 species